GGGAGAAGGAACACUGGCCCUGGAGUUAGGGCUAGAAGCCUGAUGCUCUGUCUGCUAACUUGGGAAGGUCUUUGUCAGAAGAGAAAAUUGAUUCUAAGGGGAGGAGCCCCUGCUUGCUCCUUUAUGUGCCUGGGGUAGAGGAUGCUCAGGCACAGUGAGGAGACCCACUCAGGUUAAACAAACAGCCUGGAAAAGCUGGAGAGACAGGAAAAAUAGCCCAGAAGCCUCCUCCUUCCUCAGAGCCAGGUCCACUGGUUUGUGUCAUCUGUUCCUGGGAGGUGCACACCUUCAGGGAAGGAGCCCUGGACUUGGAGUUAGCAGAUUCUACCAACCCAGCUGGGUGUCCAUAGGCAAGUCACUUAACCCCUAAGUGUCCCUCAUAUACCAAACAACAUUCACGUCAAUUUCUGGAGGGAUGAAUGCCCCAGAACAUAGUGAAGAGUGUGUAAAUCCCACCCCCAAAUACCCUUUUCCCCGAGGACUGCUACCCAGCCCCAGGGUACAGCUCAAUAAAGUCUCCAUAAAACUCAGCUUCUCUGAGUCCAGCUCCAGAAAUUACAGUGAGUUGAUUCAUCACAUUGUUUGAAUUAUGGCAAUAUGAAAAUACAGAAAACCCACAGGGAGUCAGCCUUUUCCCAUAUAUAAAACAGGGUUAUGGUCCCAUAUAAACUUUUAAGAGAGAAUAGUUUAUAUCAUAUGCAUAUGACUGAAAAUAUAAAAGGAAAGAGCAAGAAAAGAAAAAGGUACACAUUGGCAAACAAUGUAAUUCAGGCCGACACCCUGGCUUGGGACUCCCCCUUGCCCUUCUCUUGAUCUUCAUUUCUCAUCUCCAUAACAUCCCCCAUUGGUUCCCUGGCAGCAGUAGGCCGGGGCUUUUCUGUGGCUUCAGAGUCCUGUUGCCUCCGAAGGAUCCCUGAGUUCAUCCACUCUUCCCCAUCUCCACUGUCACAGCCCACACCCGGACACCAGCAUUCCUGACUUGGACCAUGGACCACCUUGCAAUGAAUUGCACUAUGUCCACUGAGGCUGCAGCGAGGAGGAUAAAUGCGGGUGGACCUCCACAGGAACAAAUCAGAUCCAUGUCAGGUGGCACCAAACCUAAAUCUGCUUCUGCCUCAGCAGACAGGACACGUAGCUGUGGCUGCUGUGACUUCUGUGGCACUUGGGAUGGAAAAACGUGGGAUGCAAACCUAUUCUAGCAAUGCCUAGAGAUGCAGGGGAUAGAAAUUUCUGUCGACCGGGCGUGGUGACUCAAGCCUGUAAUCCCGGCACUUUGGGAGGACGAGAUGGGCGGAUCACGAGGUCAGGAAAUGGAGACCAUCCUGGCUAACACCGUGAAACCCUGUCUCUACUAAAAAAAAAAAAUACAAAAAACUAACCGGGCCAGGUGGCGGGCGCCUGUAGUCCCAGCUACUCGGGAGGCUGAGGCAGGAGAAUGGCGUAAACCCGGGAGGCUGGAGUGCAGUGGCCCGAUCUCAGCUCACUGCAAGCUCAGCCUGGGCGACAGAGCAAGACUCCAUCUCAAAAAAAAAAAAAAAAGAAAUUUCUUCUGUCUUAAUGUACUAGAUAAAAUUUAUAUUUGUUGAAACAAUUAGCUACUCCUUGACCAACAAGGCAAGAGCUCCACUAUAUGGCAUCACUCAUGUAGAUUGUGAACAAGAAAGCAUGGUUUGAUCUGACCACCUCAAAACAUUAUUUUUGUUUCCUAUUUGAAACUCAGAAUUUGCAAAUAGAGUCUUUGCAGAUGUAGUUGUUUAGGUUAGGAUGAGGUCAUACUAGAUUAGGAUGGGCCCUAACUAUGGUGUCCUUACAGGAAAACUAGGUGAAGAAAGACACAGAAGAGAAGGCCAUGUGAAGAGGGAGGCAGAGAUUGGAGGUAUACUGUCACAAGCCAAGGUGCACCUGGGGCCAUCGGGAGCCAGGAGAGGCAAGGAAGAAUUUUCCCCUAGAGGCUUGGGAGGGAGUAAAGCCCUGACAGUACCCUAAUUUAGCACAUCUAGCCUCUGGAACUGUGAGAGAAUAUAUUUCUGUUGCUUUAAGCCACAUAAGUUUGUGGUGAUUUGUUAUGGCAAACCUAGGAAGCUAGUAUACUUGGUAGCUGGUAUACUUUGGGUGAGACUGGAGCAGGUACUGCUAGUGGUCAGAAUUUUAAGAGAGGCAAGCAGAGAAACCCCUGUCUCCAUUGUCUCAUGACUUUGUUGCAACACAAACAUUCUUAGUGCUUUCAUUAUACACAAAUUGCCUGCACAGCAAGGGGAUGGAGAAAGCAGUUAGACACCGUCCUGGCCUCGUGGAGCUUAUGCUCAGGCAGAGAGAUGGCAGGAUAAAAAGACAGCUGCUUCGCAAGGGAGAAAAAGCAGAGCAGGGACCCAGCCUACGUUUCCCACAGGGAUUGCUGGAGUGGGGCGGGUAAGGGGGCAUGAGUGGUUUGAGACUGAGCUGGCAACAAACUGGAGAAAGGCCUGAGUGCAGGGGGUACGGGAGAGAGCGAGGGAGGAGAUGGACUUAAUCCAUUUUCCAAGAGGAUGAAACUGGGAGGAGAGUGGAAAGUGUUUCAAGGUGAUUUUUCCAAAGGAUUUCCAGAUGGGGUGCUAUUCAGUGACUGGUGGUGUACUUUUGACAAAACCAACAGUGAAACUCUCCAUUAUUACCUAAAGCUUUCAGAGUGAGACCAAUGUUCCUCUGAUGUGGCAUCUUAUAGAUACACGGUCAUGAGACCUGGCUUUAUGCAGGUGACUCAUGGACACAGAUAUUCAUAGUAGAAGGUGGGAUGUGAGCUGGGCAGGAGGCAGGCUGCAAACAAAGCAGCAGUUGAGGCCAGAAAAGGUGAAGGCACAUUCUGUUUCGGAGCUAGUAUUUGCUUCCCUAGGAUUCUCCACAACCUAACGUAGCUACAAUCAAAAGGCAAUUUAUUGCAAAGUAAGUGAUAUGGUUUGGCUGUGUCCCCACCCAUCUUGAAUUGUAGCUCCCAUAAUUCCCAUGUGUUGUGGGAGGAACCUGGUGGAAGAUAAUUGAAUCAUGGGGGCGGUUUCCCUCAUACUGUUCUUGUGGUAGUGAAUAUGUCUUACAAGAUCCGAUGGUUUUAUAAGGGGAAACUCCUUUUACUUGGCUCUCAUUUCCUCUUGCCUGCUGCCAUGUAAGAUGUGCCUUUCACCUUCCACCAAGAUUGUGAGGCUUCCCCAACCACGUGAAACUGUGACUGUAUUAAACCUCUUUUUCAUUAUAAAUUACCUGGUCUUGAAUAUAUCUUUAGCAGCAGUGUGAGAAUGGACUAAUACAGUAAGCAGUUUUCUUUCUAGGGUGAUUGUAACUAUUGAUGCUAACAUUGGUUUCCAACUUCACUUCCCUGGCAAAGCAGGAAACAGCUAGAGUCCACUGGCUUUAGAACAUGCUCUUAGAAUUUUUUCAGUCUCAUCAAAGCUUCAUGGAAAUACUAGCUAAGUUUCUCUUUCCAUUCAGGUGUAACCUCUGAAAGCCCCCUGCAAACUCUUCCUUAAUUAUCCUUUCAACCUUCAGAGUGCAUUUGCCAGGGGAUCUGAAUAGAUCCUUAGUUGCAAAUGUGGUGUGUUAUUUCUAAGACUUGUAUUUUAUAAAGUACAUCAUAAAAUUGUAUCUCAGGGCCCAGGUGGUUAAGGGAAUAUUUCCAAUGUUCUAUUUAUUCAGAAGCAAGGGGGGCUAAUCCUAAAAAAAAAAUUCCUUUACAUAUUGGCCAAGUCCCUGAUAUACAGUUGGACCACGUCAUAAAAGGCUGUUAAAUGGUUAUGGCCAGUGUCAGUGGAUUGAAUCAUCUCCCUAUGCAGAUGAUGAGUCUUUGAGAUUGGGGCUGUUCGCAAACCCAGAUAACUUUAGAAUGCAAACUUGGGCACCUGGGGAAUUGGCUGCAGCCACCUGCUUUUUUGGAAACUAAUGAGGAAAAGGCAUCUGUCAAUUGUGUUCCCUUGGUACGAGCCCCAACUGAUUCUAAAAACAACAUUUAGUUGAAAAUAGGCUCCCAAAUGAUGUCAGAGUUGGGAAGAAAUUGCAUCCCAAGUAUCACUUAUGGCCAACGGUCAAUUUUUAAUUUUUCCUUUGUGUCUCUCUUUUGUCUUUCCCAGGAAGCAUAUUCUCUUCUAGCCAUGGCUCAAAGUCUACAAAACUUGCAUCUUCUACCUUAGUGUGAACUCGCUGAACUCUAGUUGCUUUCACUGCAGGGAAGGGACUUUAGACCCAUCUCUGCUUCUUGAUGGUUUUGUGAACCUGGAUGAGUCACUUUCCUCUCUGUCUUGAUUUUUCCCAAAUGUAGAGUGAAGGUGGGAAAAUCACAGAUUCUCCACAUUCUGAUGGGGAGAAGGUUUUGCUUUCUUCCAGAGAACCAGUGAUUCUGAUCAUCUACAAUGUUUUACUUCUUACUCUAGGUGUUGCUGACGAUUUUAGCAGUGUAGCAUCAUUCCAAAUGUCUUUUAUCUACUAUAUCAGCCAAACUAGAUAUGAUGGGUGAUUUCAUGUGUCACCUUGGACUGGGUGAAAGGAUGCCCAGAUAUCUGGUGUAAACAUUAUUUGUGAGUGUAUCUGUGAAGGUGUUCCUGGAAGAGAUUAGCAUCUGAAUAGGUAGACUGAGUAAAGAAGAUCCACCCUCACCAGUGAAGGUAGGUGUCAUCUAAUCUGUAGCUGGGCAAAAUUGAACAAAAAGGCAGAAGAAGGGUGAAUUUUCUCUCUUUGCUUGGGUUGGUGCAUCCAUCUUCUCCUGCCCACAGAUAUCAGUAGUCCUGGUUCUUGUGCCUUUGGCUUCAGACUGGGAAUUAGAACAUCAGCUCUCCUGGUUUUCAGGACUUCGGACUUAGACUGAAUUACACCAUUAGCAUUCCCGGUUCUUCAGCUUUCAGACAGCAUAUCAUAGAACUUCUUGGCUUCCAUAAUUGUGUGAGGCAAUUUCAAUAAUAAAUCUCCUCUUAUGUGUCUAUAUACAUCCUAUUGGUUCUGUUUCUUCAGAGAAUGCUAACUAAUAUACUAGAUGAUUAAAUGGCCUCUGUGGAGUUACUGCACCAAAUAGCUCCAACAGAGUCAAUCACAUUAUAUUCCAUAUAUAAAUGGCACCCCAGAGUUGUGCAAUGUGGCAGGUAGGGAGGAUGUGGUGGGAAUCACUAUUU
ensembl:lncRNA